rnacentral:tmRNA from 1 species
CGACGUUAAUGAAGCAAAUCUCCAAACGCCAACGAUGAGCGUUUCGCAAUCGCCGCUUAAGGCUUUUGCCGAGGCUGCUUGAGCCUUGUUACCAAGAAAAGCCGUGGGGACUUGGUCCCCAUCG